rnacentral:misc_RNA from 1 species
GAUUAAGAAAUCUAACCGGGCUUAAGAAUUUUGAUGCUUCUUUGAAUCAAAUUCAUGGGGAUUUAUCAGAGUUGAGGUUUUUGACGAACCUGGUUUCUCUGCAAAUGUUUGAAAAUCAAAUUUCCGGCGAAAUUCCGGUGGAGUUUGGUGAAUUCAAGUCACUGGUGAAUCUCUCCCUUUACAAGAACAAGCUUACAGGGCCUCUUCCGCAAUCGAUUGGUUCUUGGACGGAGUUUGAUUUUAUUGAUGUAUCUGAAAAUUUCUUGACGGGGCCGAUUCCUCCUGAUAUGUGCAAGAAGGGGACGAUGCAGAAGCUUCUCAUCCUUCAGAACAAUUUUACCGGUGAAAUUCCGGCAACCUACGCUAACUGCUCCACUUUAACCCGAUUUAGAGUCAGUCAGAACUCGCUCACCGGAGUCGUUCCGUCUGGAAUUUGGGGAUUACCGAACGUGAAUAUAAUUGAUCUCGCCUCGAAUCAGUUGGAAGGUUCAAUCACUCCCAACAUUGGAAAGGC